GCGCGGUUAGUUUAGUGGUUAGAAUCCUCGCUUCCCAUUCUCUCUUGGUCCAGCGAGGGACCCGGGUUCGAAUCCCGGAUCGCGCA